AUUAAGACGCUCUAUAACCUGGAUGUUAGAUGGAGGAAGAUGCUCUAUAAUCUGGAUUUUAGUGGAGGAAGAUGCUCUAUAAACUCUGGAUGUUAGAGGAGGAAGAU